UAGGAAAGACCCAACGGUGGUAGAGAAAGAACUCAAAGGCUAUGUUUGGUAAUGGAGUCACAGGUAGCGCCAGCCCUCUUCUUCCUCCCCUUCUCUGUCCCCAGCACAAGUUGUCCUCUUUUCUGUCUCAAGUAUUACUCGCCUCUUUGCCUGUCCCAAGAAGCAUCCCUGCUCUCCUCCCUCUCAGGUAUACAAAAUAUUCCUGGAGUCUUUAUCCAGGGACUCUCUGAAUGAGUGGCAGUGCAAGGAAUAAAACCAAGCACACAGACUCUCAUGUGGAAAGCCAAAGCUGGACACAAUUGGCUUCAUAGGAUGGGGGUUGACACUCGUCUCUUGGGAUGUCCAUAUGUUAAAUUGAGAUAAUUGGAUCCUGUGGACACAAAUACUUAGUUUCAGUCAUUUAAUACUCCCAACUAGAACUACUCCAACAGAAGGAUUUUAAGUUCCCUAGAGAAUUCAUGUGUAGGAGCAAAGUGUAACUUUUGAUACU